rnacentral:RNase_P_RNA from 1 species
AGGAGAGGAAGGGCAGCCGACGGUAGGGCAAAGUCCCAGCUGAGGAAGGUCCCCCCUCCAUGAGAAGGUGGUCUACGCAAGUGGGCUGGUGAGAGCCAGGGCAAGGGCGCAGAAACGACACAGCUUAAAUCGAGGAUGAUCUGCCAGGCGGUGACGUUGGUUUAAGAUAUGGUGAAACGGCGACUCCCCACCGGAGCAAGCCCAAACAGUUAGGAUGAUCACUCGAGACUAACGGGUAGGGUGCUUAGUUGAAUGCUGCCUGAAACAGAAGGGGGCCUACUACCCUCACCU